rnacentral:rRNA from 1 species
UACGUAGGGUGCAAGCGUUAAUCGGAAUUACUGGGCGUAAAGCGUGCGCAGGCGGUUAUGUAAGACAGAUGUGAAAUGCCCGGGCUUAACCUGGGAACUGCAUCUGUGACUGCAUGGCUAGAGUGUGUCAGAGGGGGGUAGAAUUCCACGUGUAGCAGUGAAAUGCGUAGAUAUGUGGAGGAAUACCGAUGGCGAAGGCAGCCCCCUGGGAUAACACUGACGCUCAUGCACGAAAGCGUGGGGAGCAAACAGG